AGCGAACGCUGGCGGCAGGCCUAACACAUGCAAGUCGAACGAACCCUUCGGGGUUAGUGGCGGACGGGUGAGUAACACGUGGGAACGUACCCUUAGGUUCGGAACAACACAGGGAAACUUGUGCUAAUACCGAAUGUGCCCUUCGGGGGAAAGAUUUAUCGCCUUUGGAGCGGCCCGCGUCUGAUUAGCUUGUUGGUGAGGUAAAGGCUCACCAAGGCUACGAUCAGUAGCUGGUCUGAGAGGAUGAUCAGCCACACUGGGACUGAGACACGGCCCAGACUCCUACGGGAGGCAGCAGUGGGGAAUCUUGCGCAAUGGGCGAAAGCCUGACGCAGCCAUGCCGCGUGAAUGAUGAAGGUCUUAGGAUUGUAAAAUUCUUUCACCGGGGAAGAUAAUGACGGUACCCGGAGAAGAAGCCCCGGCUAACUUCGUGCCAGCCGCCGCUGUAAUAC
rnacentral:rRNA from 1 species